rnacentral:rRNA from 1 species
UACGAAGGGGGCUAGCGUUGCUCGGAAUCACUGGGCGUAAAGCGCACGUAGGCGGUUCGUUAAGUCGGGGGUGAAAUCCUGGAGCUCAACUCCAGAACUGCCUUCGAUACUGGCGAUCUUGAGUCCGGAAGAGGUGAGUGGAACUCCUAGUGUAGAGGUGGAAUUCGUAGAUAUUAGGAAGAACACCAGUGGCGAAGGCGGCUCACUGGUCCGGUACUGACGCUGAGGUGCGAAAGCGUGGGGAGCAAACAGG